rnacentral:rRNA from 1 species
CGGAGAGCUUGCUCUCGGGUGACGAGCGGCGGACGGGUGAGUAAUGUCUGGGAAACUGCCUGAUGGAGGGGGAUAACUACUGGAAACGGUAGCUAAUACCGCAUAACGUCGCAAGACCAAAGUGGGGGACCUUCGGGCCUCAUGCCAUCAGAUGUGCCCAGAUGGGAUUAGCUAGUAGGUGGGGUAACGGCUCACCUAGGCGACGAUCCCUAGCUGGUCUGAGAGGAUGACCAGCCACACUGGAACUGAGACACGGUCCAGACUCCUACGGGAGGCAGCAGUGGGGAAUAUUGCACAAUGGGCGCAAGCCUGAUGCAGCCAUGCCGCGUGUAUGAAGAAGGCCUUCGGGUUGUAAAGUACUUUCAGCGGGGAGGAAGGCGAUAAGGUUAAUAACCUUGUCGAUUGACGUUACCCGCAGAAGAAGCACCGGCUAACUCCGUGCCAGCAGCCGCGGUAAUACGGAGGGUGCAAGCGUUAAUCGGAAUUACUGGGCGUAAAGCGCACGCAGGCGGUCUGUCAAGUCGGAUGUGAAAUCCCCGGGCUCAACCUGGGAACUGCAUUCGAAACUGGCAGGCUAGAGUCUUGUAGAGGGGGGUAGAAUUCCAGGUGUAGCGGUGAAAUGCGUAGAGAUCUGGAGGAAUACCGGUGGCGAAGGCGGCCCCCUGGACAAAGACUGACGCUCAGGUGCGAAAGCGUGGGGAGCAAACAGGAUUAGAUAC